rnacentral:misc_RNA from 1 species
CAGAACCCGCCUCCAAACCCUAAUCGGCACCCCGGCCGAGCGCCUAGUCCAUAUCUUCUGCAUCGUCCCCCGCCAGCCUCUCAUCCAUGACAACCUCCUCUUCCGCUACCCAUCAGACGCAGAGCUGGUCGACCAUCUUGCUCAAUCCGACUCCUCCCUCCGCCGGUGCAGGGAGGAAGGCUCCACUGAUCCGAACGAGCCAUGGAGGGUGAAAAUUCAGUCCGUG